UGAGGCCUUGGCUCAGGGAUA
rnacentral:miRNA from 1 species